CUUUGAGUGACUAGCACUUUUUCACUGUGCUCUGUUCUAUGGACCUGCUCUCUGGCACAUACCUCACUCACUGAGCCAUCUUGCUGCAGAAAAAGAGCUAAGCUUGGUAGAUCUCUUGAGAAUCUGGUCAAUGGCAAGGAAAAAUCUUGACUCUAAAAAUGGAACAGUUUGUAAUGCUCAAAUGUUUAGAAAAAGGAAAGCAACAGAGUAGCUGUAGGUCUGAGGAGAAGGAACUUACAGACGGAGCGGUGAUGUUAGAAAGCCCUGAUAUCUGGACCGCAUAUAAUUCUGACCCUAUGCAACCGGAGAAGCCAAACGGAACAGUGUUGCCCAGAGGACAAAAUGCUGUGGCCCCAGCCUCGCUCCGGUGAUGACCGCCAGCGCCUCCUGGAGGGACAGUAGGAUUCGUGCUCCACGUCACUGAUCCUAGUUGUCACUAUGGAAACAGCUCACAGUAAUCUACAGUCGCCUGCUGCUCCUGCAAAGAGAAACACAAAGAGCGCCUUGCGGAGGCCUGGGCAGCACCGCAGAUGCCACUGCUCUUGGAAGCCGCUGGCCCAGCGGAAACCUGGAGGCCAGGUUUACCUGCCACCCACUGAACCAUUUUCAGAGAUGGAAAAGGGUCGGCUCACUCUUUUCCCCCUUGGAAAGUACCCUCCAGGGGCUCUCUUCGGGAAACUAAGUUUUCUUUUUCAUCAAAAGGGGUGAGAAGUCCUAAGAUAUCUUCUCUUAGCAAACUGCUCCUCCCAGUGAUGCCCAGCCAGACACAGGUGACAGCAGGAUCUGGAAAGAGUGUGUUUUGAGUUACACCAUCGUGACACAGAGCACUAGCAGGGGAAACAAGAAUGCACUUGACAGAUGACAGCUUGGGCACAGUGCUAUCAAUUCCAUUUUCUGCCAAGUUGGCCAAGGCUGCUGCGAGGCAGUUUGCCCUUCCAAGUCCUCACAAGCUUCCCAGGUCUCCAUGGUAGGCAGCAAGCCUCCAUUUUAGUGCUGCAUGUGUGGUUGUUACUGUAAGCAACCCUGAUGAAUAACUGCAUACAGAAUCAGUAUUCUUGUGAACUUACGUAAGUUUUGAUUAAACACAAGAAAGUAUUCAUUUUAGCAUAAAUUUAUAGGUGGAGGCCAAGAGUGAUGAACUAAAAAAUAGCAUAUUGUAAUCUGGAUAAUGUAAUUGAAUAACAUUCAAUGAAUUUGUAACUAGAAAUAAUAAAGAGAAUUAUGAAAUAUUAAUAGUGGAAAUUAAAAUCAUAAUUAAAAUCAUGCAUAUUGUUUUGAGUUUACUUAUACACCUGACAACUCAGUUAACCAUCAAUUUUU